rnacentral:sRNA from 1 species
UUAAUUUAAAACUGGAUUGAUGAUCAUUAUGGUAUGAUAUGAUAUUAAAUGUGUGCAUUGUUUUGAUGCUAUAUUUAGUAGACAGGUGGUAGACCCUGUCCUUAAGGAGCUGUUGUCCUGAAAAUAAGUAGGGCACAUAUAAAUGUCCAAAGAGACCUAAACCAUUUUUGCUGUUUCCUGAGGAUACAUGUCUUUUGCCCAUAACUCUUCUUUACUUUUGUCCUGUUUGUCUUAAAGGUUGGAAAUAAAGUAGACAUUGCCAGGGAAGCCCUGGCACCCUUAUACCUUUUCUUUUUCAGCUUUUUCUCUCAAGUUUCUUUCUUAGGAAGGAGUUGGAUGAGUCAUCCUGGGAUGAGGGUAAAGAAGGUUAUCAUUGUUAUAGUGACUUUAAGUAAUGGUGGGCUUCCCUUCAAGGGAGUGUAUAGUUUUCUGUGGCUCUACAGCAAGACAUGUUUACUGAGUAAUAGGCAACCUGGAUAGAUUGCAAUCCACUACUUAAAAGUAUACCACCUGUCUUUCUCCCAGCUCUCUGUAAAAAUAACAGCCAAACAAAUCAACUUUGCAUAGAUUUGGCACUGUGAUUUGACAGCUCUCCACUUUUAGUUCUAAGAUGGAUAGAUUGGUAGAAUCAGAUUGCUUCCCAAAGAAGUAUAGUUUCUUUCCUUCAAGUCUUUUAACAUUUUAAAUAUAUUAUUAGGCACAUGUUUGGGAGAUUAGUGAAUCAACUUUUUCUUUCUGAUUAAUAGACAUAUCCAGUUCAAUCACAUGGUGGAAACUAUAUGGGUCAGAGCAUUCACCAAGUAACUGUUGCCCAAAGCUAUAGCCUAGGACCCGAUCAGAUUGGUCCACUGAGAUCUCUGCCUUCAAAUGUGAAUUCCUCAGUGACAACACAGCCUGCUCAAACUUCAUAUUUAAGCACUGGACAAGACACUGUUUCCAAUCCUACUUAUAUGAACCAGAACUCUAACCUACAGUCAGCUACUGGUACAACUGCUUACACACAGCAAAUGGGGAUGUCUGUGGAUAUGUCGUCUUAUCAGAACACUACUUCCAAUUUGCCUCAGCUGGCAGGCUUUCCGGUGACAGUUCCAGCUCAUCCAGUUGCACAGCAGCACACAAAUUACCAUCAGCAGCCUCUCCUUUAGAAACAAAGCAAGCAUUUUCUUGAAAGCCUUCAUAAGUGUAUUAUUCAGUCCUUGUGAUACCAACCUGAAAAUAUUAAAACUUUUUUCCCUCUCAACUCAAAAGGACCAUGAAUAAAUAAAGCACAAAAACCUCUCUUAUUCU